rnacentral:rRNA from 1 species
UAAGGAAUAUUGGUCAAUGGACGCAAGUCUGAACCAGCCAUGCCGCGUGAAGGAUUAAGGUCCUCUGGAUUGUAAACUUCUUUUAUCUGGGACGAAAAAAGGCGAUUCUUCGUCACUUGACGGUACCAGAUGAAUAAGCACCGGCUAACUCCGUGCCAGCAGCCGCGGUAAUACGGAGGGUGCAAGCGUUAUCCGGAUUCACUGGGUUUAAAGGGUGCGUAGGCGGGCAGGUAAGUCAGUGGUGAAAUCCUGGAGCUUAACUCCAGAACUGCCAUUGAUACUAUCUGUCUUGAAUAUUGUGGAGGUAAGCGGAAUAUGUCAUGUAGCGGUGAAAUGCUUAGAUAUGACAUAGAACACCUAUUGCGAAGGCAGCUUACUACGCAUAUAUUGACGCUGAGGCACGAAAGCGUGGGGAUCAAACAGGAUUAGAUACCCUGGUAGUCCACGCCCUAAACGAUGGAUACUCGACAUACGCGAUACACUGUGUGUGUCUGAGCGAAAGCAUUAAGUAUCCCCACCUGGGAAGUACGACCGCAAGGUUGAAACUCAAAUGAAUUGACGGGGUCAUAGCUGUUUCCUG